CGCCAGAGAGCAGGACCUGGGCAAACCUGCUGCGCCACUGCACCCCCUACAACAGACAACCGUUUGCAUUAUUGUCUUACUUAUCCGUUUUCUGUCAACAACGAGGUUUAAUUUUCUGCUGUUUGGCAGAACGCUCGGUAUGAAAUGGGCGACUGCGGAGUGAUGGUAAAACUGAUGGCCAUGGAGUGAUGGUGAAAUGGAUAGCUGUAGAAGAAGGAUCCUACCUAGCAGGCCUUUGACACGCUGGCAUGACAGCGCAAUGCUACGCUGAGCAGUGGGACAGACCCUCUGAUCAGGGACUGCCCUUGACAGCUUGGCAUGCUGACAGGUUUCACAGCAAAAAAAAAAAAAAAAACCCCUAACUGAUCCCAUGAGCAGCUUUUAAGGCUUCCAAGUAAAGAAGUGGCUGGAAAAACCCCAAAAUAAAGAACCUCUUUGCUUUCUUCUGGGGACAAAAUAAGAGGAGACAAAUGACACACACAAAAAAAAAAAAAAAAAGUGCGCGGCCAUUUGGGUCACGGCGGUCACUCCGGUGACAGUAAAGCUUGCUUCGCUUGAACCCGAGAUGCCGGGGGGAGAGCGCGGCGAGUCAGCCCUUCUCGCGAGAGAAGAAAAGGUCAACCAGCACGAAAACUGACGAUGUGUGUGUCGGGGGGUGCUGGAGACUCUGACUCACUGCUCAUUUGCAUGGGGUAAAAUCCCUGCGCGCCCUGGUGCGUUUACAUAUGGUGCCGUAACUCGCGCUUCCUCUGCGACGCCCGGGCCCUCUAGGUGGAGGGCGUGGCGACCCGAGCGCCGCGGGCGCCAGUCUCGAGCGGGACGCUUACCCAAGAGCCGCCGACCGGCACCGGUGCGCUCCUCCGGCUGCGGGAGUUUGCGAACGCAAACACGGCUCGGGCCGCUCAGCCCGUCUUACUUAGCUCGGAAGUCUUCGCCUUACGGGUAAGAGGAGCUUCCUUUUUUAGACUUUUACAUCUCGUCUACCAAAAACGAGCCAAAGAUGUGGCUAGGGGAAGGGAGGGAAAACGAAGGGGUCUCGGCGAAGGAAACGCAGACGGUACGCGCUCCGCAAAAUACGGAAAACAGAAUCAAGGACAACUGUUAACAUGAACAUCCUGAGUGUGCGUUCUCACUCGCACCCACUCUGUCACUACUGCUGCCACCUCUUCCUCCAAUCAACCUCCCUCCCCUCCCUUCCUCCUUGACAUUCGACUCCCGUGGCCAUGAACAAGAGAAAGUGUGCGGUGUCAGUUUUCCAUGGAGUGGGCGACGGGGACGUGACACAAUGCGCCGCUGCCGUUUGAAGUCCGAGCCCCACAACCCAACCCCCUUCCCAAUUUACAUGCCUGCCCGGGUUCCCACAUCUCUGGUUCCAGCCUGUGAGCAUCGUAACCCAACACCUCUCUGGACAUGCAAUCCCCCUCCCGCCACCAACACUCACCUCACCACUUUUGGGAAGGAAAAAUCUCCACCAGUCCUUUUCGAGCAGUGCGCGGUUGCGGAUGUGACUCUGACUCCAAGGUUCCAGUCCAUUCGCACCCUCCCCUCUACAAACAGGAUAGACACUCAGGGAUUAUACGUGUUCUCACUAGCGGUAAUCGCAGCGAUCGCCAACGACCUCUUCUUUUCAAGGGUAAGUCACAGUUACCGAACGGAGGCAGAAGAAGAGCCGCAGUCGGGUUUUACGAUGCGAAACGCGGGUGCCGAGCCCUUCCAAAAAAAAAGAAGGGAUCGGGAACGGUGUCCCUGUCACAAGUCUACCAGUCCUGGCAGCGAAACCCUCUGGAGACCAGUUUAUUGACCUUCCCUUAGAGUCGCAUUUCAGAGCUCUAAACCCAAUGCCUGAUGCUACUGAGCAUGUCCCACUUAGCUAAAGAAACGAGGUGGUUUGGGAAAUUUGAUGCCUCUUGGUGACCUUUGACUCCACAACACCAUGAGGACUACAAAAUACAAGGCUGUGGAUUCAGGUUAAAUACCUUCUCAGUCUAAAAUGCUUUGAAAUCCUGGGAUGAAAGGAGCCCUACAAAAUGUAUUCAUAUUUGUUCUAUUAUUAUAUGCCUACACGAGACCGCUGUUCCUUGUAAUGCAAUACAACAUUUCUCUGUUGGGAUUAUUUGUCUUUGAGAAGAAAACAAAAAAAAUCUUUUUUUCUUCCGCCAUCCUAUCUCAACUGUCAGAUGAAGUCUUCCCCAUGGACACGGUGUUAAUCGCGAUGGAUGUCUAUUUCUCUCGAGCAGUUCCUCUAGAUCCAGGUAGAUGGCUUGUGGUCGGGCACGCGGACCCGUUUCUCGAUCCGUUUAGGGCCCGUUCCUCGUGCGCAAUAGUCAUCUCAACAUUACAACCCUCCACUGGGCCUGAAAGUGAAGAUGAGGCACACCCCCUACCCAAUUCUGAAAAAGUCAAACACGCGUUGGCAGAACCCUACAAACUACCAAGUCCCCCAGAGACCCCAUUACUCUUCUGCUACAGCUCCGCUCUUCCCGAAAUGGGAAUAAGUUAUUCCAUUAAUAUCUUACAGUUGCAGUGCCGCACACUACAGCUGCUUAAAAUUCAGACUGGAUUUUUCAGAGCGUGCCACCUCACGUGGUGCCGUGGCAGAAGAGCGGCAAGAUAAUGUUCUCAUUUUGACUGGAAAGGGGCACCAUUACGAAUCCCUGCCCGGCGGGAUCUGGCUCGAUAUCACACAGGACCGUUGGUUCGGGGCUUCUUUCCGAAAUACAUCCCCCCGCCCAGCCUUUUAAAUGGACUUCUCUUAUGACCGGGCUCCACGAUUGAAUUAUUUAAUAUCCUGCUUUGUGUAUUGAUUUUUUCUCGCAGCCAGCUUCCGCUAUCCCAUUACAAACAAAGGGGUUUAUUAACUGGUAAACCCAGGGGACGGUGAACCGGCAGAGGAGGACUUCCGCGCCUCACGCCCCAACUACCCAUCUGUGUUGCAACCCAAAUACAGAUCUAUAUCUCAGGCCAAACACAGAUCUAUAUCAUAUACCGCUCUAUGCUUCUGCCACUCCGAAACACUGGCACAUAGUCGAUUUAAUGAAAGAUUACAUGUCAGGGCUCUUUGAACUGAUGAGCUACAUCAUGGAAGGCAACCUAGUGAAGCCCAUCACCUAAUUUUAUAGCAAAUACGGCCUUAAUUUUGCGGAGGACUCGCCGACGAGCGUGUGGCGUCGUGCUCGGCCGCGCUUGAUGCGAGGGCAGCGGUGGAAUCGACCAUCGGGCUAAUGCGAUUCGCGAAGAACCCUAAAGAGCGACGGAAUCAACACGGCAGUUAAGGAACCGGACUUCGAACCUCGACGCUAUCGGCUCGAGUCCUAGGAGAGGUCCCGCUUGACGAGUAAGUAGUUAACUUAAAUUACUCCGCUGAAAUAUCGCCCUGUACGAAUGGGCGCCGUAAUUAUGAAAAUGCGGCACCCGGCUGACUUCGUUCUCAUUUAUCAGACAGAUAGUUGCCUAAUCCUGUUGAUUAUGUUUUCACCUCAGACCCUUAUCCGAUUCACGUCCGAGGAGGCUUUCCCGACAAUUUGGAGUCAAAGUGGCUCGGCGCGCAGCUGUCCGUCCGGGAGCCUAGAACUGAUGUUUAUCGACAGCAAUACCUGCAUAAUUUAGCAAUGUAAGGUACGCUGUAAAUACAGGUCUGACCUGCUCCUACUACUAGCGCAUGAAAUAUUCAUCCGGCGUGGAGUUAAGGAUGGCGCUGCCUACAAUACAUCGCGCGUGUCUGGUGUGCCUCGGGGAGGGGGGGGGGGGGGGGCAUCGUUUCUGGGUAAACUAAACCUAUACUUAACCAAACGCUGCGGCCUAGGACGGGCCGUAGCAACUUUGUCGCUCCCAAACAUCGAACCGUAUUUCUACGUUACUUAUCCCUUCACGUCGUGCUUUCGAGCAAACCCGCUUGUCCAAAUAUAGCCGGAUGUUUAACUGAAGCAGUUCAAUUAUCAACAGCAGCUUUUCCCACCCCCGUGAGACUGAAACAUGCAACCCUUUGGCCACGAGUCCGGUCAUUAACCGCUACACCGAAGCCGCAGGAAGCCCAAAGCCUGCGGGUCGGUGUAAGUUCAUCCGCAGUGCGUGGGCCACUGGGACAGCCUGGCAAUGCGAGUGCCGUAAAGGUCAACGGCAACCCCCCGCCCCCCGCCACCACCACCACCACCACCACCACACACAGUGCUGGGUGCAAAAAAGCUGAGAAAGAAGCCCAAGCUGACCUCUGCUAUUAAUAAAAAGUGAGGCCUAGCAGAAUUCAAUAAGCCUGUUUUAUCCUGGGGGGAGUCCAUUAAAGGCGAGGGAUGACGAGCAAGGGGCUGCUGCUGUGAAUGAGGAGGGUGAGUGAGUCAUCGCAUUUCCUGGGUGAGGGAUGAGAGCCUCCUAUGGGGUUUCUGGGGAGUACAUCCAUUUUAGAUAUCCCUCCACCACCCCACGAACCCCCCCCCCGAUCCCCAACUGCCCUCCUCUCAGCCAUUUUUGCAGAACAAUCCAAUUUAUCACUUCUGCCCCAGUGAACCGCUGCAGUUUUGGCUCUGGGGCUGACACUGUGUCGCACUUCAAACCGGUUGUGUUACGGCGCAAUUAGUUUUGUCAUGAAAGCAGUACAAAAUUGAACUCGGGGAUUAGGUGAAGUUUUCGCUGUUAAAGCUUUGACCGUUUCCCAUGCCAUCUUAAGGUUGACUCACCUACGAAAUCGUCACCCAUCUACUGCACUCAAGAAGAAACGCUCACUUUCUGCUGUGCCGUAACUCGGAGAUCUUCUAGAAGGAAGAGCAUUCAGAUGCCAACCAACCAUGAGCCUGCAUUCACACAAAUUUCUGAGUCAAACAAGUGAGAAUGUCUAUGGAGCUCCUUUAGAGCUGCGGCUCCAAAAGCACCAAGAUGGGCACAUAAAAGUACCCAAAAUGCUGAGGUUUCGUCGAAAAGCUGAUAACACACAAUCAGCAACAGUUUCCACGCAGCUGUGAGAGACACAAGGCCUCUUGAAAUGACCACCAGCGACAGCUAAGCUGGAGACUUCUACCAGACUAGUGAGUAAGCUUUGGAAAACAGACCAAGGGAUACAAAGGGACAAAAGAAGAAAAACCCAACCAACCCAACAAAAGAAGAAAAACCCAUCUGACUACAAAUAGAGUCCAUGAGACAGCCUGUCUGGCUUCACAUUUAGCAGUGUUGGCUGAAACACAGUAGGUGAGAUGAACUCACAUGUGUGUUAGUCAACGGAUCAAUGGUGGCAUUGAAAACUGUCACAGAAGACAAUGUCAUAAUGUCAUCAUCGUUCAGUACUCAGCUUUCAGAGGGACCGACCACUCACUUGAACUAUAGCGGACGAUCCAAGUCCACGUCAACACCAGCUCCGAAAGGCUUCCUCGCAACAAAUGUAAAUCCUCUAUGAUGUUUCUAAAACCGACAACACCGCUAACGCACACCGGUGCCGUAAGAAGCGGUAAACACGGUCGCCGACUGGUGCAAGAACUCGCUGCGUAGAGCAAGACGCUGCAGUUUGGCAGCAGGUCUUCUGGGAGUCGCGCUGGUUGUCAUGCUGCCGCAGGGCCCCGUUCCCAAGAGGCGUUGUGCCUUAAGACUGCAGAGCUGCCACGGCGUUCCUUUUGUUCCUCCUACGACACCGGAGCUCAUCAUGUAAGAUACUGCCAGUCCGCCAACAGGAAGGCACGGAAGGCGCAGAUCCUCUAGGUAAAUCAAGUACCACCUACUUAAGCGUAAUAAAUGGAUAAAGGGAAACAUCUUUGACGGUCAUGACUUCAGCUUCCAGUUAUGUCACCAUGAUGCUAACCAUAGGCCAUAUGUCAUCUUACAAUGAGAUCAGCCCUCUCGCAGAGUGGAAAUGUAUGUCAAAACACACGAUGCAAUGAAGCGUUAUCGUUCCGAGUAAAGAUUUCAGCCACUCCCCAAGAUUCUCCCAUUUGGGUUGUAAGAAUUUGACUUUACGAGGAGUUCCAUUUAACACCCCUGCUUCAGCUUGCGAGGCGUUUCUUCGCAUUUAUGACAAAAAUUAAGAACAACGGUAAUUAUGCCCUUCAUUUUUUUUUUAUUUUGAUGAGAAUCCACCUUACGAUGGGGUGUUCAAGGAAAUUUACCCUUGAAAGACGGGGAAAGACUGUACGUACAAGUCAAAUGAAAAAACGUUUACUCUUCCUGUAGGUUACACAGCUCUGCGUUGCUAACCAUAGACUUCUCUGUCAUGCCACCACAGUAAACAACCACUGUUACCAAACCACCACUGGAUAAGGCAGCAUUUUUGCUGGCCCGCAUGGGUUUGGGUUACGCGGGCCCACUGUCGUGUCCUUUUUGCUACAGACAACGAUGCGCCGCCGUUGGUUCGACUUCUAAGGGCCCUUCGAGCAUCCCAAAGUGGCAUCCAGACGGCUAGUUGAGGGAGGAGAUGGAGACAGGCAGCCAGCGAGAAAAAAUGUCUACAAAUGCUCAAGGAACGGUCACCGCUGCGCCAAGCUUGCACCACGAUACCGCAGUGACGACCGAUACGCGGGAUUGCUUCCAGGUCUUCGGAAGACAAAAAGAACAUGCAUUUUAUUCAUUCUACCGGGCGCCGUCGGCGUCUUCGGACGGAAUCGAGAGCGAAAAAGACGCACAAACGCAAGGAACCGUGUCCUCGGACAUGCGGCGCCUCGGUACUCCCAGUGCCGCAUCGACGCGUGGACUUGUGCCGGAAGGGCAUAUUCGUCAGGGAGGGACCCCUGAAGGACAGCGUCCCAACGAAGAGUCGACAAAAGGGCAAAGUCGUCCACAACCGGGGGGAGAGCGGCUAUGGAGAUACCCCAAGAGACCAGUAGCACAUUCACAUGAAAAAGGUUUACGUUUAUUCAUUUAGCUGAUGCUUUUCUUUGAAGUCACGUAUAGUUAUUGACCCAUUUAAACCUUUCUCACAGGUACUAUUGGCAGCGAUAAGAUUCAAACCUGUAACCUUUGGGUCCAAAAGCAACAGCUCUAACCACUACACAUCUCUCUCUCUCUCUCUCUCUCUCUCUCUCUCUCUCUCUCUCUCUCUCUGCGGUCGUUUAAGGACAUGGGAGGAUCACAUCUACGCUGCUGCGAGCCCCUCCACUACCGAAUACACCCCGACCAACCCCCAAACAGGAACACCCACAACCCACACACACUUGGGUAUUUUCCAAGUAUACAGUUCACUCUAAAUUCUGCAACUAAAAACAUCACAAGGGUUUCACUCAAGUGUUGUGAGGCACGACGAACGUCCUUUAAGUGAUGAUGCAACCACUCCGACCGCUCGUCGGUCAGCGAUCGGCACUUGUCCUCACCUGCUGAGGGAGGCACAUGUAUAAAAGCUCAUAGUCCUGCUCCAUUUCCCCCACAUUUAAAUGUAAUGAUAUUAAUAUAUUCGUUCCUUACUGAACUCUACCAUCCAGGAAAGAACAAGUCCAGAACAGAGCAGACAGCCACAGAACGUGAACUAGUACUGUAGCGGUUAGACCAUCUGCUUCUGUGCUCAUAGGUCAUAGGUUUGAAUCCCACCCCCUGCCGUACUAGCCUAUAGCAACGUGAGCACCCUGAAUUACUCCGGUAAAAAUGCACAGCUGAAUGAAUGGGUUAUUGUGAGUAAUUUAACACUAAGUCACGCUGGAGAAAAGGGUUAUAGCUAAGUGAGUAAAUAUAAGUAGUGCAACCAAUUCAUAAACAAGUCUAUAAUCUCAAAAAGAAAUGUGAAGUUGUGUCUCUGCUAUGCCACACACUGCAACAUUUCAGCAAACUGCCAGGUUCCACACAUUGCAGCUCUGCAUUUGAUUUUUUUUUCUUUUUUUAAAUCUUCUUAAAUGUCAAACUCUUAUUCUCUGGAAACCUCACCCCAGUUCUUAGAAUGUAAGUAUUCACCACAACCGGUAUUCUUAGAGUUAGGGCAGCCUGGGAUACGUCUAUAGCCCCGUCUAAAUAUAGCUGCUUCGCAAACGUGCGCUGCGGGUUCUACCGUCGCUUUUGUUAUUAUUUAUACGCUGCUGUUUAGACCUGAAAUAUUGAAACAGGAGCCCUGAAACGAUGCAACGAACGGGCGCGUUCCUAGAGCUGAAAGUGCGAGGGCUGGCCCCGAACUCCCGUGGUUUCACAUUUAUCAGCCCGAGACACUCGUGCCCAAUAUUCCCCAUUUACGGAGGGAUUACGGCGCUUGAGCUCGUUGCAAAGCGGGGUUUACGGAAUCGGGCUCUCGCGUGGACCGGACCGCAGAAGGCCUGGCGGCACCCGGCCCGCCCGCGUUUGCUUUUCCGACGAGCGCCACCUCUACGCUUACCCUAGCAUUAAGAGCCAUUAUUGCAACGGAAGCGGCGGCGUCGCAGCGGACGAUCGCGUGACGCUGACGUCUGUGGCUUUGCCGCUGUACGCCAGCCAGAAGCGCAAAGACGCAGCGCCGUGUGUCGUAACAGUUUCUUGAGAAACGCUCGGGAGGGUUUUCACGGGGGGGAGCACGUGCUUCCCAGGCUCGGGCCGAGACGCCGCUGUCAAGUUCGCACACACCCGCAACUCUCCGCCCUCCCAGAACUCCGCACGCCUCCGUCUCGCUCUCGCUCUCUCUCUCCCCUUGAAAGGCCAGAAGAGGAGGAGAAGGAUCAGAGUGCGUGCGGGUUAUGUUCGCGGCGGGGGCCACGGGGGCUGAAGUCACCGCUUGGCUCAAUGCGGCUUUUCCGUGAUCCGACUCCAAGCC